UACGUAGGGUGCAAGCGUUAAUCGGAAUUACUGGGCGUAAAGCGUGCGCAGGCGGUUUUGUAAGUUUGUCGUGAAAUCCCCGGGCUCAACCUGGGAAUGGCGAUGAAGACUGCAAGGCUAGAAUCUGGCAGAGGGGGGGUAGAAUUCCACGUGUAGCAGUGAAAAUGCGUAGAGAUGUGGAGGAACACCGAUGGCGAAAGGCAGCCCCCCUGGGUCAAGA
rnacentral:rRNA from 1 species